GGCAGUUGGUGAACCUGCUGCCUCCAGAGCACCUUCCCUGGUGUGGAGGCAGCCAGGGACCCAGGAUGCUCCGGACCUGUUAUGUGCUCUGUUCCCAAGCUGGUCCCCCUGCCAGGGGCUGGCAGUCCCUGAGCUUCGAUGGCGGGGCCUUCCACCUCAAGGGCACAGGAGAGCUGACACGGGCCUUGCUGGUUCUCCGGCUGUGUGCCUGGCCCCCACUCGUCACUCACGGGCUGUUGGUGAGCAGUGAUCCUGAGGACCAGCCUGGAGGCUCCUCAUAACCUGGCACUGAGCCCUCGCUCCCUGUCACCCAGCUCCAGGCCUGGUCUCGGCGACUCCUGGGCUCUCGGCUCUCAGGCGCAUUUCUCCGAGCAUCCGUCUAUGGGCAGUUUGUGGCUGGUGAGACAGCAGAGGAGGUGAGGGGCUGCGUGCAGCAGCUGCGGACCCUCAGCCUCCGACCACUGCUGGCAGUGCCCACUGAGGAGGAGCCGGACUCUGCUGCCAAGAGUGGGUGAGUAGGGAGCCAGGGCCCAGGGAGGCUGGGAGGACGCAGGAAGGGGCUUUGCCGGUCGGGCCCUGACACCUGCUGGCUGGGCAGUGAGGCGUGGUAUGAGGGGAACCUCGGUGCUAUGCUGCGAUGUGUGGACCUGUCACGGGGCCUCCUGGAGCCCCCCAGCCUGGCUGAGGCCAGCCUCAUGCAGCUGAAGGUGACGGCGCUGACCAGCACUCGGCUCUGUGUAAGGAGUGCAAAGACGGGGGUGCGGGGAGGGCGCGGCUGCCCACCAGGCUCCCCUCACCACCCCGCCUACCACCCCAUUUCAGAAGGAGCUAGCCUCGUGGGUCAGAAGGCCAGGAGCCUCCUUGGAGCUGAGCCCCGAGAGGCUGGCUGAAGCCAUGGACUCUGGGCAGAGCCUCCAGGUCUCCUGCCUCAAUGCCGAGCAGAACCAGCACCUCCAGGCCUCCCUCAGCCGCUUGCAUCGGGUGGCACAGGUAACCCCUCCUGCUGGGAUCUGGCUCCACUGCCCCUGCUGGACACCCGGGGCCCUGACCCGGGUCUCUGUCGCCAUCAGUAUGCCCGGGCCCAGCACGUGCGGCUCCUGGUGGAUGCGGAGUACACCUCACUGAACCCUGCGCUCUCGCUGCUGGUGGCUGCCCUGGCCGUGCGCUGGAACAGCCCGGGUGAAGGCGGGCCCUGGGUGUGGAACACCUACCAGGCCUGUCUAAAGGUGUGCAGUGUGUUCCGGGAGGUGCAGGCUGGGGUCCCCACACCCUGACCUACCAGAACCUGCCUGCGUGCCCUAUAGGACACAUUCGAGCGGCUGGGGAGGGAUGCAGAGGCUGCACACAGGGCUGGCCUGGCCUUCGGAGUGAAGCUGGUACGAGGUGCAUAUCUGGACAAGGAGAGAGCAGUGGCCCAGCUCCAUGGGAUUAAAGACCCCACUCAGCCUGACUAUGAGGCCACCAGUCAGAGUUAUAGCCGCUGCCUGGAACUGAUGCUGACGCACGUGGCCCGCCAUGGCCCCAUGUGCCACCUCAUGGUGGCUUCCCACAAUGAGGAAUCUGUUCGCCAGGCAACCAAGCGCAUGUGGGAGCUGGGCAUUCCUCUGGACGGGACUGUCUGUUUCGGACAACUUCUGGGCAUGUGUGACCACGUCUCUCUGGCACUGGGGCAGGCCGGCUAUGUAGUGUAUAAGUCCAUCCCCUAUGGCUCCUUGGAGGAGGUAAUCCCCUACCUGAUCCGGAGGGCCCAGGAAAACCGGAGCGUGCUUCAGGGUGCCCGCAGGGAACAGGAGCUGCUCAGCCAAGAACUGUGGCGGCGGCUGCUGCCGGGAUGCCGAAGGAUACCCCACUAGCACCCCUGAGGGGGUCAUGUGGUCAAUAAAGGUCCUUAGGUGCUGCCA
rnacentral:sRNA from 1 species